rnacentral:lncRNA from 1 species
GCUGGGAGGUCAGACCCUGUGAGGGCUGUGGGGGCAUCAGGCGCAGUGGGCUCCAGGUGCACCCUCAAUGCACUGGGCAGGUCUCAGGCCAGGCUCCCUGGACCCCGGCUGGGUGAUGUGGUCACUCCCUGGGGGACUGCUGUCAGGCACCGGGCACCCACCAUGGGCAGCACUGUCCCAUCUCAGGACUGGACUUUCUCAGAUCCUGCAGAGGGCACAGCCUCCAGCCCAGGAGGGGCAGCCCCAUGGUGCAGCUGGAGCUCUCCAUUGGCCUGGAGUGUCCCCUGCCAGCCCUGUACUCCCUCUUCUCCUGGGUCCCGCUUUUGCAGUGUCAGGAAGCAGAGGGGCUCCGUCCUCCCUUCCCUAUGUGUCUCCUGGGCUGAAGCUUGCAGUGGACUGGGACAGGGAUGGUGCUUCCCUCAGGCCCAUUUAGGGAGGGGACUGGCUCCCAGCCUUGGCACAGGUCCUCAGCUCUGCCUUGGUUGCCUCAGAGUGAGCAGGAUCAGUCAGUGCCCUGAAGGUAGAGCUAAGAGACUGUCCUUGCUGUGUGGGAGGCUGGUCUAGGGAUGGAGGACUUAACGGGUCCUCCCAGUCUGUCAGGCCUGGACAGUACUGUCCUGUCUCAGACUGCAGAAAUUCCAGUCCUGAGAUAGGACGGUGCUGCCCAGGGUGGGUGGCCAGGGCCUGACAGCAGUCCCCCAGGGAGUGACCACAUCACCCAGCCGGGGUCCAGGGAGCCUGGCCUGAGACCUGCCCAGUGCAUUGAGGGUGCACCUGGAGCCCACUCCGCCUGAUGCCCCCACAGCCCUCGCAGGGUCUGACCUCCCAGCAUGCACCUGCCCCUCCCUGCACCCCAGAUGUCCACCCUACCUGUUCCCUGACUUCCUCCAUCCUGUCCAGCAGGAUGGGCUGGACAGUGGGACAGCCUGUGUGCACAUUUUGUGGCAAGUAGGAGUGACACACCAUCCCUGGGAGGCACCAUGGUUCCUGCCAAACCCAACCCCAGAACUCUGUCCCUGAGGUGGUUUUACCAAAACCCAAAACCCAGAAUUGUGCUUGUGGCUCAGGGGUCAGCACCUGCUAGUACCAGGACACUACUGGGAGGCUGGGACCUGACCGAAGCCCAUGGUGUCUGUGGCCUGAGGACAGGGUGUGUUGGGGCCAUAAGUCCCGGCCACCAAUGGCCAUUGGGUCCUAGGGCCUCAGCCCCAGUGUUUGCCCUUCCCUGGCUCCUUCUGGUUCAGUCCCAUUAGGGCCCUGGAGCCCAAGACCCAGCACCCAAGGUCCCCUCCAGGAAUACUGGCGGCUUGGCUUCCUUUAUCAUGUUUCAUCUGAGAGCAAAAAUGUCAGAUCGGAUGCACAGAAAAAUGGCCCAAAUUGUUUAAUAACUAGAAGAAAUAUAGGAGCAGCAAGAGGGUAAUAUGGAGAGGGGAGGGCCUCCAUGACCGGUGUCUGCAGAGCCAGGGGUACAGGCACCCAGUGUUGUGGCCUGGCACCACCGGCCUCUCAGAGCGUGGGUGGCCCACUGUCUUUACCCGGAGGACAGCAGGCCUGAUCACCAGCUUUUCUACCUGUCCCUGUAAGCAUCACGUUGCUAGAAGAAAAUCUCAUGCCAGAGCUUGCACCAUCCCUAGCUUGGGGGUUAGGGGUUGUCUCUUGGUGACCUAAAUGAAAAAAUAGGUCCAGAUCAGAGUUCCUGACGCAGAGCACUCACCCACUCUUUGAAUCGUGGGAGGGGAGGCCUGGUUUUAGUUAAACCUAACCUCUUUGAGGAACCACAGAGCCCAAGACUGGAAGCCUUCAGAAUCUUCUGGCCCCCAACCCUCCCUGGGGACCCCUGUGGCCUGUCUCACCAGAGCACUCUUCUGUCUGUAGAUGUCUCAGCUGCUCUACAAGGGAGUCCCAUUUCAGGUGUGGGGCUGGGCAUGGUCACUCCUGCUGGAUGUCUAGAAGGUGGAAACUAAGGACCUAGGAAAAUGCCAGAUACAGCCUUUCCACCCUCAUCCAGAGCAGGACAAACAGGCCCGGUGGUGUCAGGAGCCCAGGUCUCCAGCUGGAGGGAACGUCAACCCUGCAGUGGGAGCAGGGGCCCAUCGCACAUCCUAGGCACAGAUGCUAAUGCAGGCACUGCAGACCAUAAAGGAGAACAGCAAGAAGCCCCCAGCAAACAUCCACAUAUGGCCCUGGACAUCAGCCACAUUCUGAGGAACAUGUCAUGUUCUGGGAGGGCUAAGGCAUCAACCUUACCCUGUAGGAAUUCUAGUGACUAUGUUGCCACCAUCUUGGAGCUCCAUGCCCUCAUAGUGUAAUGGCACCAGCAGAUCUGCCUGUGCACAGACUUCCUGUACUACCUCACUCCUGAGGGGAGAUGCUUCUGCGGGCCUGCGACCUGGUGCUCAACUUUAGACACCAUCAUCCUGGAGCGGCACUGCACCCUCACUAGCCAGGGUGUUGACGUCCUCAAGGCCAAGGCCACAUUCAAGACUUUGGACUUCAUUGAUGCACUUGUGCCGAGCAAGGUGGGCAUCUCUGGGAUCUUAAUUCAGGAGGUAGAAUGCAGCUUGAGAUCAAGUGUCUGAUCAAAGAACUUGAACUUGAUCUGGAGGGCUCUGGGGAGCCAUGGAAGGUUCUGGAUAAAGGAGGGACAGUCAGCCACGUUUUAGAGAUGACUGUGGAAGGCUUCCUGGAAGGAGUGAACAACAGCCAGGAGACCAGGGAGGGAGCUUGUCGGGCAGGUCUGGAGAUGGCAAGGGAGGGAUCCUGCUUGGAUGAAAAGUCUUUAGGGACCAUCUCAGGUUACUCUCAGGUGCCCUCUGAGUUAGUGUGUUCUAAGUAAGGGGUUCUAAGCCUCCUAUUGUGGCUCAUCCCUGACAGUGUCAGCACCAGCUAGCUCCCCUAACCCCACAGCUCAGGGUCCACUUUGCUUCUGCAUCCUGCAUGUUCCUUUUCCUGCUGAAAAGCAGAUUCCCCAGCGAGCAGCAGAAUCCUGUUUCUCCCUGUAGGCCCCUCUGCUCCUUAUGAGUGGUGUUUUGUGGGAUUCCUCCCUUGGUUUUGGAUGAGAACACCCUUUCCCAUUCCACAGGGAUUGUUUCUGUGGACCUUAUCCCAGGUUUUCCCCUGGUCGGGCACCGGGCAGGUGGGGGUGGUGGGACCAACUUUUUAGAACCAGCAAUGCCAAACAGAUCCCACUCAGGGAAAGUCCAUGCUAAGUGUCAUGGGUCCUAUGGAAUUUUCUGAAGCUUUCCUUUUCUCCCCCACCUUCAACCAGCUUAUCUGAUCUUCUGGGAUCUCUACUAGGAUGCUGGCAGCCCAGCCAGCUGGUCUGGCCCUGGACGUGCCUUCAGGGGCUGGGUAUGCUUCAUGACCUGUGUUUUGAUCCUGGUUGGAGUAAAACAUUCCAUGGGAACUCGGGCUGUGAGAAAUGUCCUAACCACCUGACUGCAGAAACAUCCUUAUCACAUCCUGCUGGGCAAAGGCCCAACAGCCUGACUUCAGGAACAUCCUUAUCAUCUUCUACUGAGCAGCAAGCUAUACUGUCCAGAGCCCUCCCUCCCAGCGCUAUGAUUACCCCAGCCUGUGAGCGGCAGUGGGCACUGACACUAAGCUGGUUUCCCCCUCCGCAGGGUUUUGCUAGUAAUAAACCUGUGUUGCUGUUGA